CACACUCUGAUCAGAAAACUGAACCCGAGGAUGUGGAGGCUGGGAAUCUCUUUCUAAGCUUUGGGAGAUAGCAGGGCUUUGAUGUUUUGGGUAGUGGACAAUUUCCUCAUGAGAAAGGGGAAGACGAAAGCUAAGCUAGAAGAAAGGGGAGCCAACCAGGACUCGAGGAAUGGGAGCAAGGUCCGCUACCGGAGGGCCGCAUCCCACGAGGAGUCUGAGUCUGAGAUCCUGAUCUCAGCGGAUGAUGAGAUGGAGGAGUCCGACGUGGAGGAGGACCUCCGCAGACUGACCCCCCUCAAGCCUGUGAAGAAAAAGAAGCACCGCUUUGGGCUACCCGUAUGACACAUUCCCAUGCUGGGGGUGACGGGAGGGCCCCGCAGCCGCUGGUGUGCAGAGGUCAUCCCGCAGCAUCGUUCCUUACCCUCUCUCUGCCCUUCCUUUCUACCUCUGCUCCUCUUGCUGUCUCUGCCCGCUCUCGCCUGCCCCCAGACUACUGUGACUUAAAAAGAGGGAAGAGGAGCCAGCGCCCGAGGGGGCCACU
rnacentral:sRNA from 1 species